GGUAAGCCUUGAGAGUUGCUUUGACCAAUAGAAUUUGCUAGAAGUGAUAUUGAGCCUAGGCCUGAAGAGGCCUUAUAGCUUCCACUCCUGCCCUAAGACUGUUGCAUGAAGAUACCCAGACUAGUGUCUUUGCAGAUGAACAAUCAUGGUGAAAGACAAGCCCAGCCGGCAGCCAGCACCAACCGCCAGCUGUGUGAGUGAGGCCAUCCUGGAUCAUCCAGCCCCAGCUGCCCCACCAGAUGACAGCAGCCACACAAGUGACCCCAGCUGAGACCAAUAAAAGAUCUGCCCAUCUGAUACAGCCCAAACUGCUGAACCCCAGAAUCAUGAACAAAUAAGUAAAAGAAAAGAACACUGGUUGUAUUUUAUGGUUGCACUAUGUCCAGCAGAAAAAGGCAUUCCUCAGUCUCCUUGCAGCAAGCAUCAUCCCUCACCUGGACUCUGCAAAAGCCUACUCGUGGGUCUGUCUGUAUCCCUGUCUGCCUCCUCCAGGGCCAUUCUCCACCCAGUGGCCGGAUCGAUUUUUCAAAGAGGUUGAUCCCAGCUCAACCACUUGCCAUCUGUGUGACCUGUGGGCAAGUGACCUUACCUUUCGGAGCUUCAGUUGCCCCAUCUAUAAAAUGGGAAUGAUGCCAGUGCCUGCCUCAUAAGGAUGAGCCCCGCGCCUGAAGCUCAGGGAGCCCUCUCUGCAAGGCUGUUUUAGUGCAACCUCCGGAAACAUGCCCAUGCAUGUGAAAACUGGCAUACACAUUCUGGUGCUUUUAAAAACAUCUCGAAGCCUAUCCACAGAUCCUGGACCUCAAGACUGGUUCAGUGCUAGCCCCCCAUUUUACAGAUGUGGAGAAUGAGGCUUAGCGUGUCCCAGGCAAGUCAGUGGCAAAACUCACCAUCUCCUGGGAGCCAUCAGGUUCCUCUGGAUCUGCCCCCACCAAAUUUAUCCCCUGCUCUCUGCUUGAGGGUGCACAUGGGGUGAGGGUGGGGGUCUUUUGUUUUACUCCCUCCCCCUCCUGAGGAGUCAGUAACCAACAGUGUCUGUGCCUGG